UGCCGCGUGCAGGAUGACUGCCCUAUGGGUUGUAAACUGCUUUUGUCCAGGAAUAAACCUUUCUACGUGUAGGAAGCUGAAUGUACUGGAAGAAUAAGGAUCGGCUAACUCCGUGCCAGCAGCCGCGGUAAUACGGAGGAUCCGAGCGUUAUCCGGAUUUAUUGGGUUUAAAGGGUGCGUAGGCGGCCUAUUAAGUCAGGGGUGAAAUACGGUGGCUCAACCAUCGCAGUGCCUUUGAUACUGAUGGGCUUGAAUCCAUUUGAAGUGGGCGGAAUAAGACAAGUAGCGGUGAAAUGCAUAGAUAUGUCUUAGAACUCCGAUUGCGAAGGCAGCUCACUAAGCUGGUAUUGACGCUGAUGCACGAAAGCGUGGGGAUCGAACAGGAUUAGAUACCCUGGUAGUCCACGCCCUAAACGAUGAUAACUCGAUGUUGGCGAUAGACAGCCAGCGUCCAAGCGAAAGCGUUAAGUUAUCCACCUGGGGAGUACGCCCGCAAGGGUGAAACUCAAAUGAAUUGAC
rnacentral:rRNA from 1 species